UUGGACGGGCCUGGUGAACUGCUCAAAUUUACAUGUCAAGUUAGUGGCAGAACAGGGACCCAAACUCAGGUCUGUCUGACCUGGAACAACUCUCCUAAGAGAUAGAGAAUGAGGGAAGGAGAGACAAUGAGAGAGAGAGAGAGAGAGAGAGAGAGAGAAAGCAAACUCCAGAGAUUAAAAUCAAUAUUCUAUGUGCUUCCUGUGAACAGGACAUAAGAAAUAAAGGAAUCAGUGAUUCUCAAAGAAAAAUAAUUAAGAAAUAUCAGGCAGUGGCUGUGUAUAGAAAGGUUAGUCCUUAUGGAAGUCCAUUAACCUACAGUGAAUUGAUAAGGUGAGCCAAUUACUUCUGGUUGAGGGAAAGAGAAGAAAGAAGUGAUCUAACUGUGUGAAUCUCCUGGAGAUAAGACACUUGCAGAAGUAUAGAGGACACAUUGACCUUCUCUCCUUCAGCUUGCCAGUGACCAGAAAGCAAGCUCUAGUCAUAAAAUACUAUUCCAUUUCUCAAGAUCAGUGCUUCUGUGGAAAGGAGAAGAAGGCUAAGGACCUUGGGCCAGCUGUGCUGUCUUCUGGAAGGAAGAGGGCAUGGACUUGACUCUGAAUCAGCCCAGAAGCCAAAGAAGGGAAAGUGGAAAUUUCAGGAAGUCUUGAGACCAACGAAUGAAUCACAGAGAACAGACAGUCGUGGUCUGGUGCUGUCCAUCCAUGGACAGAGCCUGGAAGACACCUCUCUCCAGAUGGCACUUAGCUCUUAGCACGGAAAGUUUGGAGUAAGCUUCAAAAAUGAAAAUGACUAGAAGGUCUAAAAGUGUGAGAGGUUCCUAGGGACCAGGUUGGCCUCCACCCACACCUGAGGGAAGAGGCACUGAUGUCCCAGGCAAGAAAGCUCCAGAAGCCUCAGAACUCACCAAAACCAACUAAUGCAAACCUGCAUCCAAGACACACCCAACAUGCUGAGUUCUGAAGGACAUAGCCGUAUCACAAGAGAAAUAAAAACUGAAUUAUCACACUCUUUUUGGCACUGGGCACAUUUUCAUUUUACCUAAACAUUUAGACAAUUUUAAACAACAUAAUUCCCAGAUCAAAGUCAUAAAUACUUAGGAACUUGCCUGUUGUCUGGGAUAUCAUGAUUGUAUAAUGAUGGCUUUCAUUACAGGAAUCACAGAGAUUCUAUAAUGCUUUCCAAAUAAAAUGCCUAGUGUUGGUGGUAUAGUGGUGAGCAUAGCUGCCUUCCAAAUAAAAUGCCUAUUUUUUAGACUC